UAAAAACCAGGCCUAAUUCCUCUUCCUUUGUGCUCUUAGAAUUCAAAUGAUAUUUUCAAGGUAAAGGGGUCAUCAUCUCUUUUCUGCCAGGAUAAAUUUCAGAAAGGACCUUUUUGGGGAGACCCUAUGAUGAGAUAUGAUCAAUUUAUAUGUUUCAGAGGAGGACUUCAAAAGAACACUCUGGCAUCACCUAGUCAGAAUUUGGGUAGAGGAACACCUG
rnacentral:lncRNA from 1 species